AUCUCUAAUGCUGAUGCCACAAGUCUUUUUUUUUUUUUUUUUUACUGGCACCUCAAAAGCUCCUCUAUCAGCGCAUUUAUCUAUAGUUUGUCUGUAUUUCUGGGCAACAUUUGUUUUUGUAGAUUUAGGCAUCUCUGGAUUUGUGGGUAGCAUGUCUUCAGUUUUCUUGUAUAGUAAAGGUUUUUGGCGGAACACUAUGGUCUUCCAUUUAGAAUUGUUUAUAGUGUAGGCAUUCAGAAUUUUUUCUCCGAAAAGUUGUGGUUGGAACAAUCCAUUUUUUUUGUACUUGUAGCGCACAUUGAAUAUUUAUGCAGUAUUUAGGUUAGACAAGUUGCAGUGGCUCUCUGAAUAGGAAUAGUACUUUGAUCACGUGCCAUGUCUGCCACCAGUAGGGCACCAGCUUUUUUACAAACUUCUGGUGUGCACUUCUUAGGACACUUGCAUAAUUUAUGGGUCAAAUGUACUAUGCAUUCUGUUGGUAAAUAUAUUUGCAAAUGUGGUACAGAUUUUGUCAUUGGUGAAAGUGUAGGAAGAAGCACAACAGGACAGAUGGAAGUCGUUGCUCAACAGGACAGAUGAAACUCAGACGCUCCACUAAAUCGAAACGGACCAAAGCACUGAGUUCUACAAAGGAUUGUGGCCACAAUUAUCCGCGUAGUAAAGCAGGAAUGGCAUCUCUGAAUAGUUGAAGACCAAAUCGCUGUCUUCUACAAAGAACUGCGGCCACAAUUCUCUGUGU